GCUGGGCGUGGUGGUGCACGCCUGUAAUCCCAGCUACUUGGGAGGCUGAGGCAGGAGAAUCACUUGAAUCCAGGAGGCGGAGGUUGCAGUGAGCUGAAAUUGUGCCAUUGCACUUCAGCCUGGGCAAUAGAGUGAGACUCAGUCUCAA
rnacentral:sRNA from 1 species